rnacentral:rRNA from 1 species
UCUCAGUUCGGACUGUAGUCUGNAACCCGACUACACGAAGCUGGAAUCGCUAGUAAUCGCGAAUCAGAAUGUCGCGGUGAAUACGUUCCCGGGUCUUGUACACACCGCCCGUCACACCAUGGGAGUCGGGAAUGCCCGAAGCCGGUGACCUAACCGAAAGGAAGGAGCCGUCGAAGGCAGGUCUGAUAACUGGGGUGAAGUCGUAACAAGGUAUC